GGCAGUUAUGGGGUGGGGGGGGUUGAGGGUGGGGUAUGGGGGGUCUAUAGGGUCAGUUAUGGGGUGAUGGGUAUUUUGGGGGCACUUAUGGGGUGAUGUAGCGUGGGGUUGUGGGGUAUAGGGGCAGUUAUGGGGUGAUGUGGGGUGGGGCAGGGUUAUGGGGUGGGGACGUAUGGGGGUGUAUGGGGUCAUGUGGGGACAUAUGGGGUCACAUACCGGCCUAUGAGGAUAUAUGGGAUCAUAUGGGGUCAUAUGGGGGUUUAUAGGGUCAUAUGGGGACGUAUAGGGAUAUAUGGGGAUGUAUGGGGUCAUAUAGGGAUAUAUGGGGUCAUAUAGGGACGUAUGGGGACAUACUGGGAUAUAUGGGGUCAUAUAGGAACAUAUGGGGACAUACAGGGAUAUAUGGGGCCACAUACCGGCAUAUGAGGAUAUAUGGGAUCAUAUGGGGUCAUAUGGGGGUUUAUAGGGUCAUAUAGGGACAUAUAGGGAUAUAUGGGGAUAUAUGAAGUCAUAUAGGGAUAUAUGGGGUCAUAUAGGGACAUAUGGGGACAUACAGGGAUAUAUGGGGCCACAUACCGGCGUAUGAGGAUAUAUGGGAUCAUAUGGGGUCAUAUGGGGGUUUAUAGGGUCAUAUGGGGACGUAUAGGGAUAUAUGGGGAUAUAUGGGGUCAUAUAGGGACAUAUGGGGACAUACAGGGAUAUAUGGGGCCACAUACCGGCGUAUGAGGAUAUAUGGGAUCAUAUGGGGUCAUACGGGGGUUUAUAGGGUCAUAUGGGGACGUAUAGGGAUAUAUGGAGAUGUAUGGGGUCAUAUAGGGACAUAUGGGGACAUACUGGGAUAUAUGGGGUCAUAUAGGAACAUAUGGGGACAUACAGGGAUAUAUGGGAUCAUAUAAGGAUGUAUCGGCACGUAUGGGGAUAUAUGGGGUCGUAUAGGGACGCAUGGGGACGUAUGGGGAUAUAUAGGGCCAUACAGGGACGUAUGGGAACAUAUGGGGCCAUAUACGGACGUAUGCAGAUAUAUGGGGUCAUAUAGGGACGUAUGGGGACAUAUGGGGUCAUAUAGAGUUGUAUGGGGACAUAUGGGGAUAUGUGGGGUCAUAUAAGCACAUAUAGGGAUAUAUGGGGUUAUAUAAGAACGUAUGGGGCCAUAUGGGGCUGUAUGAGACCAUAUGAGGCCAUAUGAGGCUGUAUGGGGCUACAUGGGGCUUUAUGGGGUCUUAUGAGGUCUUAUGGGGCUAUAUGGGGCCUUACGAGGUUUUAUGGGGCCGUAUGGGGCCAUAUGGGACCCUAUGGGGCCUUACGUGACUAUAUGGGGCCUUAUAGGGCCAACUGGGGCUGUAUGGAGCCGUUUGAGGCCUUACGUGGCUGUAUGGGGACGUAUGGGGCUAUAUGGGGCCAUAUGGGGCUGUAUGGGUUUGUAUGGGGCCUUAUGGGGCCGUAUGGGACUGCAUGGGGCCUUAUGGGGCUGUAUGGGGCCGUAUUGGCCAUAUGAGACCAAAUGGGGUCGUAUGGGGCUGUAUGGGACCAUGUGGGGCCAUAUGGGUUCGUAUGGGGCCAAAUGGGGCCAUAUGAGGCUAUAUGGGGCCAUAUGGGGCCGUAUGGGGCCAUAUGGGGCCGCAUGGGGCCGUAUGGGACUGUAUGGUGCUAUAUGGGGCCAUAUAGGACUAUAUGGUGCUAUAUAAGGCCAUAUGGGGCCAUAUGAGGCUAUAUGGGGCCAUAUGGGGACAAAUAGGGCCAUAUGAGGCCAUAUGGGGCCAUACAGGGCUGUAUGGGGCUCUAUGGGGCCAUAUAGGGCUGUACGGAGCCAUAUGGGGCCAUAUUGGGCUGUACGGAGCCAUAUGGGACUGUAUGGGGCUAUAUGGGGCCAUAUGGGGCUAUACAGGUUCGUAUAGGGCCUUAUGGGGCUUUAUUGGGGCUACAUUGGUUCAUAUGGGGCUGUAUGGGGCUAUAUGGGGCCAAAUGGGGCCAUAUGAGGCCGCAUGGGACUGUAUGGGGCUAUAUGGGGCUGUAUGGGGCCAUAUGGGGCCAUACGGAGCCAUAUGGGACUGUAUGGGGCUAUAUGCGGCCAUAUAGGACUAUAUGGGCCCAAAUGGGGCCGUAUGAGGCCAUAUGGGGCCAAAUGGGGCCGUAUGGGGCCAGAUGGGACUAUAUGGGGCCAAAUGGGGCCAUAUGAGGCUAUAUGGGGCCGUAUGGGGCUCUAUGGGGCCAUAUGAGGCCAUAUGGGGCCACACAGGGCCUUAUGGGGCUCUAUGGGGCCAUAUAGGGCCGUAUGGGGCCGUGACGCACCAUAGGGGCACAUUGAAGCGCUGCAGGAGGCGGCUGAGCAGACGGCGGCACUGUGGGUCGGACAGCAGCCCCAUAGCGGCACCUCCGGGAGGGCCUCAGCCCCACAACUGCGGGGCGCACAGUUCAGGACCCCAUAAGGGAGACCCACAGAAACCCCACAGACCCCCAACCGCCCCGCAUCACCCCACAGACCACAGAACCACCCCAUAACCCCGUAUCUGCCCCAUAACCACCCCAUAGACCCC
ensembl:lncRNA